GACGAACGCUGGCGGCGUGCUUAACACAUGCAAGUCGAACGGAAAGGCCCUGCUUGCAGGGUACUCGAGUGGCGAACGGGUGAGUAACACGUGGGUGAUCUGCCCUGCACUUCGGGAUAAGCUUGGGAAACUGGGUCUAAUACCGGAUAGGAACCAUCUUUAGUGUGGUGGUUGGAAAGUUUUUUCGGUGUAGGAUGAGCUCGCGGCCUAUCAGCUUGUUGGUGGGGUAAUGGCCUACCAAGGCGGCGACGGGUAGCCGGCCUGAGAGGGUGUACGGCCACAUUGGGACUGAGAUACGGCCCAGACUCCUACGGGAGGCAGAAGUGGGGAAUAUUGCACAAUGGGCGCAAGCCUGAGGCAGCGAAGCCGCGUGGGGGAUGAAGGCGUUCGGGGUGUAAACUCCUUUCGCUAGGGACGAAGCUUUGUUGUGACGGUACCUAGAUAAGAAGCACCGGCUAACUACGUG
rnacentral:rRNA from 1 species